GGAGAGGUGGGCGAGUGGUUUAAGCCAGAUUUAAGAAACUAACCGUUUCUUAAAUCCACACGAGUCAUCGUGUCGUAGGUUCGAAUCCUGCUCUCUCCGCCA
rnacentral:tRNA from 4 species